UACGUAGGGUGCGAGCGUUAAUCGGAAUUACUGGGCGUAAAGCGUGCGCAGGCGGCGCGUUAAGACAGGUGUGAAAGCCCCCGAGCUUAACUUGGGAAUUGCGCUUGUGACUGGCGUGCUGGAGUGUGGCAGAGGGAGGUGGAAUUCCACGUGUAGCAGUGAAAUGCGUAGAGAUGUGGAGGAACACCGAUGGCGAAGGCGGCCAUCUGGACGGCUACUGACGCUGAGACGCGAAAGCGUGGGGAGCAAACAGG
rnacentral:rRNA from 1 species